CUAAGAAGCCGAAAAAAAAAUGUUAAGCUCUUGCUUACUUCAAAGCAAAAUUUGCCCCUAUAUCUUCUAUCUUCUGGAAAUGUACCACAUCUAACACCACCCUUCUGACAUAAAUUUAUUUUAAUACAUUGAAUAGCUAUUCUUUCUCUUCCUGACAUUCUCUUCCCCACCAUAGUCCCAACACCAUUGCUUGAAUAUUUAAAAUUCAUGUUUCUUCACUAUCUUGAUUGCUUUUGUUAAUCUCUUUUGUUUCUAUGAUGAAGUUAAGGUCACUAGGCAAUGGUUCUCUCAUCUUAAUAGCAAGUUCAAAACCAGGGAACAACUUAGUUCUUUCCAUUUCAAACUACUUAGUAUCAGUUAAACGGGAUCUUCAUAAGUUAAAUCCUUCCUGGAUUCAAAAUAUCUUUUCUAAUGAAAGAAAUGCGGUUGGGGUGGGAGACAGGGUUUAUAUAUCCUUUCUACAUAUGAAUUUAUAUCUCUAUAGAUGUUUCCUAUGAAUUCUGUAUUUAUAUGUCCAUCUACAUACUUAACAUAUUUUCUUCGAUGUCUCAGGCAUCACACACUCAUAUAUUCAAAACCAAAUUCAUGAUUUCCACCCAAAACCACUUGGUUCCUCCUCUUGUGCUUAGUACAAAUUGAGAAAUAGAAUAAAGAAAGGAUAGAUGGAAACCAAAUACGGCUGCUUGGCAUUCUGAGGAAUCCAAGCUGCCAGUCUUCCAUAUCUUGUUAUGGUGCCGUCUGUGUCCUUCUCAGCUGCCUAGCAGAAAACAGCCUGCAGAAUCUUGUGUGUUUGGUGCUUCUACUAAGAGGUAAAAAGCAUCACUUCUGCUCACAUGUUAUUGUCCAAAGUGAAGUCCCAUGGCCAUGCCUAAUUUCAGGGAGCCAUAUGCCCAGAAAGAAGGAUGAAUGGGGACUCUUGAUGAUCACUUCCAUAAGCAGCAACUUAGAUAAUCUCAUUCUGUUUACUUGGUUUGGUCCAACGUACUUUCAUUCUCCCCACACUUACUAUCUUCUUCCUGAUUCCCACUCUGAGUCAAGGCCUAGGAGAUGAUGUAUGUUGAGGCAAGACGAGGCCCAGGUAGCAUCUUCACCUGGUUUUACCCUUUUUCAAUCUUUCUCCAGUUCCUCACACAGCACUGAAAGGACUUUUUUGUCUUCUUCAUGGGGCUGGAACUUCAGUGAUUCCAUUGAGGAAUACAGUCCUCCCUGUUCUAUAGUUUAUGCUCUCGUCAAUCCUCUAAGCUUUAGUGUCUGAUAUUUAAAGGAAUAUUUUUAGGAUUCAGAAAAUCUAUUUCUUAAGUAAAACUAGCUUUCAGGACUACUGCUCUAAAUGUACUUAAAAGUCUAAUUUGAAACCCAAACUCAAGUAAUAUCCCUUUCUUCUAGGCAAGAACUGCAUUCUUUCUGAAUAAAAUGAAUGUAAUUCGUUUAAUGUGUGAGA
rnacentral:lncRNA from 10 species